UCCUCACUCUUAAAAAUAAAGGUUCUUUAUUGGCAUCUAUAGUUACAUGAAACCUUUCCAUUACUCAAAAGAUUCCAUUAGUGGAAAAGGUUUUAAGAUGUUCUUAACAACCGAGAAAAAAUGGUCCAAGAACUGUUCACAGAAAGGUUCUUUGAGGAACCAAAAAUGAUCUUCUAUGGCAUCACUGAAAACCCCCUUUUGGAACCUUUAUUUUAUAGGGAGUGGACAGUUAAAAUUAAUCACAAAUUAUUUUCAGUAGUUUCAAUAUGAACAUUUGUAUCAGUGGAAGUAACCAUUUUUACUUAUAGCAGGACAAAUCGACAGUCAGACAGUGAAUUAGUAUCAAAUUAUGCACAAAAAUAUGCAACCAGUUUGGCAGGGGCAGUUGUAGGCUAAUGGUUAGAGAGUAGGACUUGUAACAUUCUUCCAUGUUUACAUCCCCUCCCGAUAGGUGCCUCUUGGGGCUGUAACCCGAAAAGGUUGCAGGUUCGAGUCUCAGUGCCGGCAGGAAAUGUAGGUGGGGGGAGUGAAUGAACAGUGCUCUUUUCCACUCUUGAGCAAGCCACCUAACCCCCACCUAACCCCCAAUCCCAAAAACGGCUGCCCACUGCUCCAGUGUGUGUGUGUUCAAUUCUGAGUAUGGGACAUGCACACAUCAUCUUCACUUUCACAUCCACACUCAGGUUCAUUUCCUUAAAUUCUGUUUAUUUAAGAUGUUGUUAUAGGAACAAUGAGUGAAAAGCGAGUGUAAAAUAAAGUAUGCUGUCACGGGUUGGUUCCACAAUGAGGCAAGUAUCUGUUAGCAACAGUCUUACAUUAUUCAACUAAAUAAAACCAAACAACAACAACAAAAAAACUCUGGCACAGGAGAAGUACACAAGAGCAACAUGAACCAACCUUAACACUGAACACAGACAAAGAAGGGUUUAAAUACACAGACCAAAAAAAAUGGAGCUAAACGAGACACAGGUGAACACAAUGGAUUGCUAAGGAAACAAAUGAUCACACAUUAGGAAACUAGGGCUGUAAACCGAAAGAGGGAGGAGGGAGAAAAUAGAAAAAAAAAAUUCCAUAGGAGGAGGGGCAGGAGGAAGAGUCCAUGGGGGAGUCUGCUGAGGAAGGAGCCAGGGAGGAGAUGAAGGAGGGAUGAGCCAGGGAGCAACCCAGAGCAGAUCCAUUAGGACAAAGGCCCACGGCAGAAACGAUGGAGGGAACUGAUUACGACACAGCUGUUUUACGAUUAGCUGGAUACAGCGGGUCACUGCGGGAAGCAGAAAGUGUCCCCCCAGCUUCUCCUUGACAGCAAGCGGCAAAUCUCGUCGAUUGGUUACAUCCAGCCACAGCCAAAGUUGAACACACCUGAAGACCCAGGUUGAGACCGACGGACAGGAGGCGGAACCGCAGACUCGCAGGACCAAGGCGGAGAAGGGGGCAGACCGGGGUGGAGCUGGUGGGAGUGAGGACAAUGGUGGAGCCUGAGGGAAUCAGGAUCCCAGUGGAGCCGAAGGGGUGGAGGGACGAGAUGUAGCCAGAGGCCCAGAAGUCCACUGCACCAAGGUGGAGCCGGAGGGAUAAGGGAGCCUGGUGGAGCCUGAGGGAUGAAGGACCACCGUGGAGCUGAGGGAAUGUGGAGCCAAGGUGGAGCCGAUGGGUCGAAGGGCCGAUGUAGAAUCCAGGGCUUGGACUCUUGAGGUAAAGCCAGGGGAUUGACACACCAGGGAGACCUGGAAGCCCAAAGUGGAUCCAAGCAGCUGGGCAGAGCCACUGAAGGAGGAGCCGAAGGGCUGAAGGGAGCCAGUGGAGGCACGUCAGAGGAGGAGGAAGUGGUAUGCUAAGGCGGGACCAGCGGCAAAAAAAGGAAAACUUGAGGCUGGGUGGGAUCAACUGGGAUUGGAGGCUUUGAGGAAUUAAAUCAUCCAGCUCAUCAUGCCAAUCCAUGGGGACCUCGCAUAGCAAACCUUUAGUGGUGGGAGUAUGGACAGGGUUCUACUCCAUAUCAAUAAACUUGACUAAAACUCCCUCUGGGGUGGAUGGCGGUACUGGCUUUCACCUGGACAGACUCUGCAUUUGGCUCAGGCUACAAGACAAAGAUGGCUUUGUUGCAGGCACAGGCUUUGAGUCUCCAGGGGGCUCAGGCAUGUAGUCCAUAAGGGGCGUGGCUUAAGGCUGGCUGAGCUUUGGGUCCAAUGUGGACUUGGAGCCCGUGUGGAGUGUGGACCUUUUGAGCAGAACGGCAUAGAGGAUGUAUUGCUCCAGGGUGCAGUUGCCUGUAUUCAGUGGCAUCAGAGAAUACAGAGGCUCAUCCAAACGGACAUGAAAACAGUCCAUUAAUGCCACCUCAUUAAACUCAACCUUUGAACAAAGUCCACAGAAUUCCCAUACAUAUUCCUCCAGAGGGCGGCCAUUUUGGGAUAGGGACAACAGCUGGUUGGCUGGGAGGAAUGCUGCAUGAUCCAUUCUUUCUUUAAAGGUCUGGUGUCCUGUCACAGGUUGGUUCCACAAUGUUAGCAACAGUUCUACUUUAUUAAAGUACUAAAUAAAAAGCACUCUGGCACAGGAGAACCACACAAGAGCAACAUAAACCAAUCUUAACAUUGAAGACACCAGAAAAAGAACUGAACUGAACAGAGGAUUUAAAUACACAGAUGUGUACACUGCAGUCACUUUGAUGGUUUUAACAAUGUCUUUAGUACCUUUCUGGGCCUCGAAAGUGAUGGUUAUAUUGCUGUCUAUGGAGGAGUCUCUCGGAUUUCAUCACAAAUAUCUUAAUUUGUGUUCCGAAGACGAGCGAAGGUCUUUCAGGUGUGGAAUGACAUGAGGGUGAGUAAUUAAUGACAGAAUUUUCAUUUUUGGGUGAACUAACCCUUUAAGAGUUAUAUUUGUUGCAUGCCUUAUUUGUAAUUACAAAUGGGUUUAAGAGGAACAGUUACUUCAGUUGUAAAGAUCACAAAACCACUUCAGCUUCCUCUAUGUCUGAGAUGGCAAGACCUAUGUAGAGGCUGAGGUUUGUGGGAGGAUACAUGUCACUUACCCAUCAUACAUACAUCACUCACAAAUCACUCCCUGAACAAUUAUGCUUCUCUUUUCACUGCAUUGAUAAGAUUCAUUCUUUUAACUUAGUUAUUUUAGCUAGCUAGUUGAUCUAAGUCUGCUCUAAUCAUCAUUGUGCUCUACAAGGUCAAUAUCAUCAAGAAUUCAGAAAACAUCUACAAAGAGUAAAGAAUUGAACCUGGACAAAUCUGAUCUGGUCUAACUGAAGUAGUUUGUGACGUUGCAGAACAACAUGACUGAUGAGGAGACAAUGGACCCUGACUAUGACAACUCUGACUACUACUAUGACACAGAAUAUGGCAACGAGUUGUGUAUCAAAGAGGAGGUGGUGAAAGUCGGAUCCAUUAUUAUUCCAGUCUUUUUCACAAUAGUGGUUGUGUUAAGCUGCAUUGGUAACAUCCUUGUUCUGGUCAUCCUGGCACUCUACGAGAGUCUCAAAUCCCUGACCAACGUCUUCAUCCUCAAUGUAGCUCUGUCAGAUCUGCUGUUCACGUUUGGACUUCCAUUCUGGGCCUCGUACUACAUCUGGGAUUGGACAUUCGGAGACAGUGGCUGUAAAGCGGUGAAGUUUCUGUUCUAUGUUGGCUUUUACAGCAGUGUGUUGUUCUAAACUCUCAUGACCAUUCAGCGUUACAUGGCAGUGGUUCAUCCUCUGUCUGACUGGGAGAAAUGCAGAGGAUUUUCUGUCGCUCCCUUUAUUGUUUGGAUCCUGAGCGGAGCGGCUUCACUGCCUGGUUCACUUUAUAGCAAAGUUACACAACAUUUUAAUAGUACAUACUGUGAAUAUGGGAGUGUUGAAGUGAAAUCUGGCAUUAUUUAUUUUCAAAAUGCUUUCUUCUUCAUUGCAUUUAUAAUAAUGGGUUUUUGCUGUGCCAGAAUGCUUUGGAUGAUAACAAAAUCACGGACCAAUGAGAGGCCCAAGACUGUUAGCCUAACAUUUGUUAUUGUGCUGGCGUUUUUUGUUGGUUGGGCUCCAUAUAACAUUGUUAUGUUCUUAAAUACUUUGACAGAUCAGAAUAUCAAGCCAUUCACAGAGUGUGGAGUAAGCAUUGGACUCGACUAUGCAUAUUAUGCUUGCCGAAUGUUAGCUUUUACACACUGUUGCUUAAACCCUGUGCUUUACAUUUUUGUUGAUGUAAAGUUCAGGAAUCAUCUAAAAUUGAUUCUGCAGAAGAUCUUUAAAAAAAAAUCAAUCACAGAGUUCACUGUACUAAGAGAAAACUCAAGUACUUUUACUGAAUGCAGUGAACCAACAAUGAGUUCUAAGAUAUAGUACAUACACUCUUAAAUAUAAAGGUCCCAAAAGGACAUUUUUUUUGUGCCAAUGCUAUAAAAAAAGACAUGUUUGGUUCCACAAAGAACCUUUCAGUGAUCAGAACCAUUUAAUGGAGCUGCAUUGCACUGAAAUUUGUUUCAGACACUUUUUUUCCCCUCAGACCUGCUGUCUGCAUUUUCAUUGCAGUCUUAUGUACUUUGAAUAUUAGGCAAAUUAUUCCGGUGAUGUAAGACUUUCCAGUUCCCGCUGGAUUUUGUCCUCAGCAUAUGAGCUUAAUAAAGCCUGAACCUCAUCGGUCCAUCUGUCUUAUUUUUUAAACUCCAUUCUUGAUUCGCAUAGCAACUAAACAACUCUUUCUGCACGCACCGCAACAGACUGGUUGAAAUAAAAUGUUACGUGAAGUCAACCAAUCAGCAUGUCCCACCUCCGAAAGUUCCUGAACUGAAAAAGUACUACUUGGAGAGCAGGGACUUUCUGAGAAGGAAAUUUUUACCUGGUCGAUAAACACCAAAGUCUCUAGUUCCUGGGGAAGUUCCUGCAGUGGAAACGCGCCUUUAGUGUAAAGAAUGUUUUAGUAACCUAAAGAACCAUUUUGGUUAGAACUUUUGUGCAACAGAAAGGUUCCAUUGAUGUUAAAAGUUCUUCAUGGAACCAUCAACACCAAUAAAGAACCUUUAUUUAGAGUGUAGAGAUUCUGUUUGUAGCUACUGUAGCAUUGGUUUAUUAUUAUUAAUUGGAUUAUCAUUAUUAUUGUGCUGCACUUGAUUAUUUGAAGACUUUGUUGAGUCAUUGCACAGCUACUGCUGACAUAAUUAUUAAGUUAAGUUUCGUUUCCUUGGUUGUUAAUUAGUUCCUGUACCUGUUUUGUUUUACCUUGAUUACUCUCCCCAUACUUAAACCCUGAGAUCUGUCUGUUCAUGGUCCAGUAUCAUUGAUCAAUUUUGCUAUAUGUCAUAUGUAUACAUGUUAAUCAUUGUUAACAUGUAUUCAUUACCUUGAUGAGCUCAUUGUUUCUGCCAUAAAUUAAUACAUUGCUUAAAUUAAUAGGCUACAUUGCUAGCUAACUGCUUGAUUUGUAUAUGUACAUUUCUGAAAUUACAUAAAUUGUACAGUCACCUCUGAUAACAGAUUACUCUAAAUUGUACCGUUGACAUGCAUUUUCUGUAAAGCUGCUUUAUGUAUUGUGAAAAGUGCUAUACAAAUAAAUGUCAAUUGAAUUGAA